rnacentral:rRNA from 1 species
AUUGAACGCUGGCGGUAUGCUUAACACAUGCAAGUCGAACGAUGAGAAAGAGCUUGCUCUUUCGAUUAGUGGCGGACGGGUGCGUAACGCGUAGGAAUCUACCUAUUAGUGGGGGACCACUUAGGGAAACUUAAGCUAAUACCGCAUACGCCCUACGGGCGAAAGCAGGGGAUCUUCGGACCUUGCGCUAAUAGAUAAGCCUAAGUCGGAUUAGCUAGUUGGUGGGGUAAAGGCCUACCAAGGCGACGAUCUGUAGCGGGUCUGAGAGGAUGAUCCGCCACACUGGGACUGAGACACGGCCCAGACUCCUACGGGAGGCAGCAGUGGGGAAUAUUGGACAAUGGGCGCAAGCCUGAUCCAGCCAUGCCGCGUGUGUGAAGAAGGCCUUAUGGUUGUAAACUGCUUUUAUCUGGGAAGAAAAGGCCCGUGCGCGGGACAUUGCCGGUACCAGAUGAAUAAGCACCGGCUAACUCCGUGCCAGCCGCCGCCGUAAUAC